CCCAAAGCUAUCCCUCCCCACCGGACGGUCCCUGCAGCACAGAUGGCCCGGACCAGCUCACCCUUCCUUCCCGCCGUGGAGAGGUUUCCUGUCUACAUGCUUAUGGGACAAGAUUCUUUCCUCACCCAUCUGGACCUUUGGCUUGCAGCUUGCCAUCACCUACCACCUCUGCUUGAGUAACCCUAAGGGGUCUAUAUGCCUGUUUUCUCCACUAUCUGGAGGCAGCUUCGUCCGGAGCCAAACUGUCAAGUACUCAUGAGAAUCCAGUUACCUGAUGGUCACCUAGUCAGGUUAGGGACUAACCCCUAAGAAUAAAGAAGAAUACAUUGGCACCACCUUUUAUCCUUUUUACCAGCUUAUUAUUAUUUUAUUAUUUUGAGGCCAUGACCAGUAGA